rnacentral:ncRNA from 1 species
GAACUGACAAUCCGAAAGGUGGAAUGAAAGGGGUAACGCCCUGAAACGCCUUCCCUAAGACUGCGACUGGGAUAUGUAAGGGAAACCUGAUAUUUCAGAGAGCUCGCGGAAGUCGGCAGAGAGUGACCGUGCCCAAGCAACACGAAAGCUGUCCAGAGGUGGAUGGUGUCACCUAUAUGCCGGGGGUCUAUAAA